GUCGAGAAUAAUUCACAAUGGACGAAAGUCUGAUGGUGCAACGCCGCGUGGAGGAUGACGGUCUUCGGAUUGUAAACUCCUGUCAUCCGGGAGUAAGACCUGGCUGUGAAUAGCAGACAGGGUUGAUAGUACCGGAAGAGGAAGGGACGGCUAACUUCGUGCCAGCAGCCGCGGUAAUACGAAGGUCCCGAGCGUUGUUCGGAAUCACUGGGCGUAAAGGGAGCGUAGGCGGCGUGGUAAGUCAGAUGUGAAAUCCCGGGGCUCAACCCCGGAACUGCAUCCGAUACUGCCGGGCUAGAGGAUUGGAGAGGUAGCUGGAAUUCUUGGUGUAGCAGUGAAAUGCGUGGAGAGCAAGAGGAACACUCGUGGCGAAAGCGAGCUACUGGACAAUAUCUGACGCUGAGGCUCGAAGGCCAGGGUAGCGAAAGGGAUUAGAUACCCUGGUAGUCC
rnacentral:rRNA from 1 species